UCAAGUGAUCAUCCUGUCUCAGCCUCUCAAGUAGCUGGGACUAUAGGUGUGAGCCACCAUGCCGGGCUAAUUUUUUUUUUGUUUGUCUCAGUGGAGAUGGGAAUCUCUCCAUGCUGCCCAAGCUGGUGUUGAACUCCUGACCUCAAGCAACCCUCUUACCUUGGCCUCCCAAAAUGUUGGGAUUACAGGCAUAAGCCACCAUGCUCAGCCAGCUGUGGUUUUAUGUUGGAAGUUGUUCUAGAGAGCUAUAUUAUGACAUUGAAUGAAAAUAACUCCCUACCCUCAUCUCAGUCCACAGCUGGGGUCAAUUCAUCAGGCAUUUCAUGAAUGUUUACUACAUUCAAGGAUAAAAGAUGCAUUUGUGAUAAUUAAUAUUGAAAAUAAAAAAAUGGCUCAUAAUUUUGGCCGUAAAUUUUUGACGUUUGUAUGGUAAGUAAAAUGAGAGAAUUUAAUCAUUUUUAGUGUAUGCAACUACUUAUUUAGUAAUAAUUGUCUCCUUUCCUUUCCUCCACUCCUUCUGCUCUUGUCACAGUUGUAGUCACUAUUAAAGAUUGGAUAAGUAGCUAGGCACAGUAGCUUGCACCUGUAAUCCCAGCUAGUUGGGAGACUGAGGCAGGAGGAUCACUUGAGGCCAGGAGUUCAAAGCUGCAGUGAGCUAUGAUUGCGCCACUGCUGUCCAGCCCGGGUGACAGAGCAAGACCCCAUCUCUAAAGACAAAAAAAUAAAAAAAAAAAAAGAAAAGGUUGGAUAAGUACACCAGAAAGUUAAAUAAUAAAUUUUCAAAACGGGACAGGAAAAGAGAAAUAUAGAAGGAAAAAAAUCUAGAAUCUCACACCUAAAUGCAGCU
rnacentral:lncRNA from 1 species